GGAAUAUUGCGCAAUGGGCGAAAGCCUGACGCAGCCACGCCGCGUGAGCGAUGAAGGCCUUCGGGUCGUAAAGCUCUGUGGAGGGAGAAGAACAAAGCCGGUGAAGAGCCGGCCUUGACGGUAACCCUUUAGCAAGCGCCGGCUAACUCCGUGCCAGCCGCCGCGGUAAUACGGAGGGCGCGAACGUUGCUCGGAAUCAUUGGGCGUAAAGCGCACGUAGGCGGCCGAUCAAGUUGGGUGUGAAAGCCCUCGGCUCAACCGAGGACGUGCAUCCAAAACUGACCGGCUUGAGUGUCGGAGGGGAUGAAGGAAUUCCCGGUGUAGAGGUGAAAUUCGUAGAUAUCGGGAGGAACACCAGUGGCGAAGGCGUUCAUCUGGCCGAUUACUGACGCUGAGGUGCGAAAGCGUGGGGAGCAAAC
rnacentral:rRNA from 1 species